GACGAACGCUGGCGGCGUGCUUAACACAUGCAAGUCGAACGGUAAGGCCCUUCGGGGUACACGAGUGGCGAACGGGUGAGUAACACGUGGGUGAUCUGCCCUGCACUUCGGGAUAAGCCUGGGAAACUGGGUCUAAUACCGGAUAGGACCACUGCCUGCAUGGGUGGUGGUGGAAAGCUUUUGCGGUGUGGGAUGGGCCCGCGGCCUAUCAGCUUGUUGGUGGGGUGAUGGCCUACCAAGGCGACGACGGGUAGCCGGCCUGAGAGGGUGACCGGCCACACGGGGACUGAGAUACGGCCCAGACUCCUACGGGAGGCAGCAGUGGGGAAUAUUGCACAAUGGGCGCAAGCCUGAUGCAGCGACGCCGCGUGAGGGAUGACGGCCUUCGGGUUGUAAACCUCUUUCAGCACCGACGAAGCGCAAGUGACGGUAGGUGUAGAAGAAGGACCGGCCAACUACGUGCCAGCCGCCGCGGUAA
rnacentral:rRNA from 1 species